rnacentral:lncRNA from 1 species
UUCAUUUAAAAUCCUUAGCGGGAAAUAUAUAAUUUCGAAAUUAUUAGUAGACUAUACAGGGAGUAGUUUUAACUUCAGUACUGGAGUCUGCAUUAUAUUUUACACGCCCUAAUAUUCAAGAAGUUGUGUUAUAAUUUUUUACUAAGUGUUUGACUAUUUUAUUUGUGUGAGAAUAAUUCUUAAUUUAUUGUUACCUAAUAAAAUUUUGCCAGAAAAAUUUAAAAUGUAUAGAAUAUCAUAGAUGACUUUCAACGAGAAUCAUUUUGACUCAUAAAUGGCAAGAUAAACUCCCUUCUUAACAUUCUAUGGUUGAAUAUAAUAGGUCGUAUUCACCGUGACUAUUAAUAUAAAUCUACAGAGUAGAAAAAUAAGUAUUUCAUCUCUUGUCGAUUUUGUAAAUUUGUCUACUUAUAAAAUUUUUCGAUGAAAUUGAGGUCUGGAGACUGGACAAGCCACUCCAUGACCUUAAUGUGCUCUUCUUUUUUAGUCACUUCUUUGUUGCCAUGGUCGUAAGUUUUGGGUUAUUCCCGUGAUAGAAGAUCCAUUUUCAUUUAGAUGGCCUCAGUUAAGGAGGAUGUCACCCAAGAUUUCCCCAAGGAUGGCUCAUCUUCCCUUCGAUUUAUUGAAUUUGUCAUCUCCCCUUCGCAGAGAAACACUCCCAAAACAUCAUGUUUCCACCCCCAUGCUUGACGGUGGGGAUUUUUCUUCCUCCUAACACUUUUGUUUUGUUGAUAUAAUCAAAUGUACCUCACUGUAAAAGUGGACCUACUAUUAAAAUUAUAAAUCAUUCUUUUCUUCGUUAGUGGGCAAACUUAAAAAAUAAGCAAGCCAUCAAAUACAUCAAAUUCUCCUCUUUAGGUCGUUUUUCAAUUAGUAUCAUAAUAUAUAAUUGUUUAUUAAAUAUAAUACUUAACAGAGACGGAUUAACGUCAAUGCCAUAGUAUUUAAUUUUCAAAGGCCAUUGGAUCAUGUUUGAGCUGCGUCCAGAUUAUGAUUAGCUAUCCAUAACGAUGUCAAGGAAUGUGAGCCCAAGAGAUUAAUUAAAUAUGGGUGUGAUUCAAUCAUCAACUUCUGAAUAUUUUUAUAAUCAACAAAGCAGCUCACCAUUUCUUGAAAUCAAUCGGAGAACCUAACUAUUAAUCGAUAUAUGUUAUGCUAUGUGAAUAUUUAUGAUAGUUACAUGAUUAAUGAAAUUGUAUGAUUUAAAUGAAACUUGUAGAAAAAAUUAGAUUGUUUACAACUUUA